AUGAACGCUGGCGGCGUGCCUAAUACAUGCAAGUCGAUCGAACAGACGAGGAGCUUGCUCCUCUGACGUUAGCGGCGGACGGGUGAGUAACACGUGGAUAACCUACCUAUAAGACUGGGAUAACUUCGGGAAACCGGAGCUAAUACCGGAUAAUAUAUUGAACCGCAUGGUUCAAUAGUGAAAGACGGUUUUGCUGUCACUUAUAGAUGGAUCCGCGCCGCAUUAGCUAGUUGGUAAGGUAACGGCUUACCAAGGCGACGAUGCGUAGCCGACCUGAGAGGGUGAUCGGCCACACUGGAACUGAGACACGGUCCAGACUCCUACGGGAGGCAGCAGUAGGGAAUCUUCCGCAAUGGGCGAAAGCCUGACGGAGCAACGCCGCGUGAGUGAUGAAGGUCUUCGGAUCGUAAAACUCUGUUAUUAGGGAAGAACAAAUGUGUAAGUAACUAUGCACGUCUUGACGGUACCUAAUCAGAAAGCCACGGCUAACUACGUG
rnacentral:rRNA from 1 species